UAGGGAAUCUUCGGCAAUGGACGAAAGUCUGACCGAGCAACGCCGCGUGAGUGAAGAAGGUUUUCGGAUCGUAAAACUCUGUUGUUAGAGAAGAACAAGGACGUUAGUAACUGAACGUCCCCUGACGGUAUCUAACCAGAAAGCCACGGCUAACUACGUGCCAGCAGCCGCGGUAAUACGUAGGUGGCAAGCGUUGUCCGGAUUUAUUGGGCGUAAAGCGAGCGCAGGCGGUUUCUUAAGUCUGAUGUGAAAGCCCCCGGCUCAACCGGGGAGGGUCAUUGGAAACUGGGAGACUGGAGUGCAGAAGAGGAGAGUGGAAUUCCAUGUGUAGCGGUGAAAUGCGUAGAUAUAAGGAGGAACACCAGUGGCGAAGGCGGCUCUCUGGUCUGUAACUGACGCUGAGGCUCGAAGGCGUGGGGAGCAAACAGG
rnacentral:rRNA from 1 species